ACAAAAGGAAAAAAAAAGUAAAAAAA
rnacentral:sRNA from 1 species